GGCAGCCAGAACAGAAGCAUUUCUACAUGGAGAUUGCCUCCUUGGGGAGUUUCCAAAAAAGUCCUGAUCCUUGGAAAGGGAUCUGAUUGCUAACUGAAGAACCUGAAAACAACAGAACAACCGGUGCUGUAGAUCUGUUAUGAGGAAAAUCCAAGUUCUGAUCCUGGAAGGCAGCGAAAUCCCGCUCCUUAUGUUAUGAAGGCAUCUUCUGCAUAGAGUCUACAUUGCUUGAUUUAUACACAGUCAUUUGGAGGACCUCCACACUUCUAUCUGUCAUCCCAGGAUGAGGUGUGAACAAUCCAUUUACCCAGUGGGAAAUUAAAGAAAACCUGAAGUAAGGAGAAUAAUCGGAUUGUUUCAGUUCCUGCCUCUAUCAGUUGCUAUUCUGUGCCUCUUCUCUCCCUGCACUGUGACACAGGAGAGAUACUCCAGCCCUCUGAUCAGCAUCUCGACCCUUCUCUGGAUCUGGUCCAGCAGCUCCAUAUCCUUCUUGUGCUGGGGGCCCCAGACUGGGACACAGUACUCCAGAUGGGGCCUCAUGGGGGCAGAGUAGAGGGGGACAAUCCCCCCUAUCUCCUUGCUUGCCACCCCUCUUAUGAAGCCCAGUACUGUUGGUCUCCUGGGCUGCUUUUCUUUUAAAUGGAAACACUGAAAUAUUUCCUGCAUUUUUUUUCCCCUUAGGUCUACUCCCUGUUGCCACAGAUCUAACUAAAAAAGCAUCAGACUGCAGUCUGAUGGAACUGAAAUAAGAUGCAUGGGAUUCUUUAGACUGUUAGCAGGUCACUGAGAAAUAGCAAAAAACAAUAAUCAACUGAAAAUAGGUGAAGUGCAUGAUUACUACAGCCCCACAGAUAACACUUUUCACCUUUAAAACUGCCUGUUAACAAGAGUUGAGUGCAGAACUGCAAACAUUCAUCUCUAAGUUACAUUUUUCUCCACCAUACUACCGUACUUUCUAAAAUGAUUGUUUUUUUUUCUUUCUGGUUGGCCUCUGGAGAGGGGGAUACUUUUAAGGCUGAGGACUUAAAAGACCACUGAGGUAGUAAUCAUUGGUUCACACAGUUUCCCUUCCAGCAACUUGCUGCAAGCAAGAACAACAGAAACAAAUAAAUAUACAAGACAAAGAAAGAAACGGAGCCAGAGGAGCGAGCAUUCGUAUUGUCAUUUAGAUGAACUAUGCAGCUAUCUCUCUUGACACACCUAUUCCACAAACGUGUUUCUUCUCAACCUGGUAUUCAUUUUCUGUCCUUCUUCAUUACAUUAGUGAUUCUUUUCCCCCCCCUCCUACUCUGCCUAUAGUCUGAACCACUUGCUUAUUUUUUGGCUAAAUUAGCCAGGUUGUUCGUAUUGCUGUCCCACAGGUGACCUAGCAGCUCAAACUAAUAAUACAUAUUUCUUUGUCAAUGUGUUAGUCUCCAAGCUUGUUGAAGGCAUUUUAUAUGUCCAAACUGCAGUGAUGUAUUUUGGGGAUAAUAAUACAGAAGUGGAAUUAAUGCCUUUUGGAGCUUUCCUUUCUUGCAAGAUUGGGCUGGCCUAGAUAAAUGGUUUUCUCACAUAGCUUAUUUUGGCUUUCUUUUGUUUCAGAACCCCUGAAUUUAAUAAUGUUGUUUUUCUUCAGAC
ensembl:lncRNA